rnacentral:sRNA from 1 species
GAUGGCGGCUCAGAAGAUAAACGAGGGGCUGGAACACCUCGCCAAAGCAGAGAAAUACCUGAAAACUGGUUUUUUAAAAUGGAAGCCAGAUUAUGACAGUGCCGCUUCUGAAUAUGGAAAAGCAGCUGUUGCUUUUAAAAAUGCCAAACAGUUUGAGCAAGCAAAAGAUGCCUGCCUGAGGGAAGCUGUUGCCCAUGAAAAUAAUAGGGCUCUUUUUCAUGCUGCCAAAGCUUAUGAGCAAGCUGGAAUGAUGUUGAAGGAGAUGCAGAAACUACCAGAGGCCGUUCAGCUAAUUGAGAAAGCCAGCAUGAUGUAUCUAGAAAACGGCACCCCAGACACAGCAGCCAUGGCUUUGGAGCGAGCUGGAAAGCUUAUAGAAAAUGUUGAUCCAGAGAAGGCUGUACAGUUAUAUCAACAGACAGCUAAUGUGUUUGAAAAUGAAGAACGCUUACGACAGGCAGUUGAAUUACUAGGAAAAGCCUCCAGACUACUAGUACGAGGACGUAGGUAUGUCUUUAAAAACUACUGCUGUGUGUUUAACUAUACUUUGAAUCCACAUUUGGAACUGGAAAGUAAUUUGGGGGAUAGCUUGUUAAUUUUUUGGUAUAAGCUGUAGACACACCAGGCCACACAAUAGAAUAUUAACAUUUACUAGACAGUAGGCACACUGAAUUAGAUAUUAAAAGAUCUGCUGUUUUUUGAAAGUGUAAUGCCCAAAUUUAUCAUGCACUGUGCUUUGAUUGGUUGAACCCUGGCUCAGCAACAUGAAAGGGAACAGUUUCCUUCAUCUGUUACUUGGUUGGAUUAUAAUAUCUCUCUCAAGGAAAAAUAAGAAUAUUAGGAUAAAUGACAAAGAUGCAUAAACACUCACCCAUGAAAAUUGACAG